rnacentral:piRNA from 1 species
UGCGUACUAUAUAUCCCAUUCGUCAUGUC